AACCCAGCCAGCAAAGCCUCGCCAGGGUGUUAUAAUAUUGUUAACAUAGUGGUGACUCCAUUGUCCCAGCAUUGACGGCACUACCUCCCCCCCUUGACUUUGAUCGCCUCCCGAUUGCUCGCGGGGAGACAAACGCUACAGGGCAAAGAUCUGACUAGCCUGGAUAUAUCCCGCGCUUGCGCGCGAGGAGACAACAUCUUAAAUGCCAGAUUCUUACGUCGUCGGGCUGACCCGUGAUUGCGCGAAAAAGUUAAUCAUUUUCUGUAUGAACAUGGUGCAUAACAAUAUUUCAACGAUCGUCAACGCAGGCGUGACAUUGCUCAGUGUGGUAUAUAAAUUACAUCAGAAUUCAAUCAGCGUUCCUGUUUCUGUUGAAAAUUUAUGCCACAAAUUUGUUAUAAAAUUAAUUAAAAAAUUAUAUGGAACUCAGUUUUUUGGUAUCGAUUUUAUUAUAUUGUUUCAUCAAAAAAUUCAAAUUAAAUCCACUAAUGAAUUAUUUAGCACCAAUAAAAUCAAUAUGCAAUCUCUAUAAUUAUUGAUAUAAUCAAAAUAUAUAUAUUGAUUUACAUGAUGUGUUAAAAAACAUUAAUAAUUAGAUAUUUUAUUGUUAAUCUAAGGCAAACACCUAGUAUGCAAUUUGCAUUGCAGUUGUGUGUCACAGAUGUGCCUACCAUGCCAGGCAUAGUUUGGUUUCCAUGGGGGUUUGUUUUUUGUCAAAGUUUCGAAAAAAGUUGACCUGCAGCGCUAGUGUCGAGCUGGCCAGGCUUGCGGACGGAUUGCAGAAUCUGACAACGUUGAACACUCAGAUAAUGCUCUGCUUUCUAUUGCCAAGAAAGACCGUGAAAAAUUAACUUCUUUUGCUUUGCAUUUAGGCACAUGUGUUCGGCCAGGGUUGAAUGAGAAGGGGAGGGAGCGAGGCUGUGAAAAAGAGACAAUAGGCCGCUCGCCCGCUCAGCCACUUUUCGAAUGAAAAUCUCUUUCCAGCCUCUGAGCAUUUUUGCUGUCGCACGCGUUAUAUUUUGACGAUUAAAUAUUUUUCAUUCAAAUUUGAUAAACGUUGACUAAUUUUGAAAAACAAUAAAAAUUAGAGAAAAUUCACUUCUUUUCCCUGGUAUAUUUUGCAAUGAUAAAAUCAAUUUCAGACAUUAACAAAUAUAAUUAUUUAAAUGAGAAUAAAUUAUUAUCCGCUUUUUUAUUGCUGCAUUCGCUAGAGCUUAUGAUCCUGAGUUUAAUUGUGUUUGUUUGAUUGAAUUUGGGCUAACAGAAGGCAAGAUAUUAGCUUCAAUAGGUUGGGCUGAUUUUUGUAUUUUGGUUAUCUCUAAUAUUUUAUUAAAUCACACGCUUAAUUUCUGGUUUAAUGAACAUGACAGCCAAUUACCCCAACAUGAAACCUACAUCCUAGAAUUUUAUUAUAGAUUUAUCUCAUUAAUUUCACCCUAAUAAAUGCACUUUUAUCCAUAAAAUAUCCAUUUGUUACGGUUUUUUGUCAUAUGGCAACCAUUUAAAAUUAUUCUUGAGGCACGAAAGUCUGGUAUGGUUAUUGAAAAAGUUUUUUUGAAAAGAUCAAGUUUGUGGGGAUUAGCGUUUUUUAAAUAAACUUAAUUUUGAUUUUGCAGCCAACGCCUCUUUUAGUGGCGCGAAAAGUGGCUGCAAGAAAAUUUCACGCAAAAUAGGCGAGAAUUAUUGUAAAUAACUUCGGUGUAGAUUGACUUAGGAAGGUAAUUUUUUCAAUACUAGAAUUAUUUAUUUUUUAGAGCAUGAUGUGCUAAGAAAAUCUAUCCCUCCAUUGUCAAAAAUUGGCAAAAAGUUCAGAAAAUUAAAUAAUUGUUCGAAAAAAAUUGAUGACAAUUAACAAUAAUUAAUAUCUUUUAAGAUUUUUCAAAAACCGUGUCAAAAUUUGGAAUCGGAGCGAAGAUAUGAAAAAUUGAAAAUCAAGAACUCGUGAAAUGUUUUAACGCCACAGAGCUUUAGCAGACGCUAACGCUGUUUUUUCUGUCUGCAGAGAUUCUGAAUGAAAAAAAUGUUUUAACUUAAAUGAUUAAAAAUCUGCAAACUUUACUAGUACGAAUCAUUCAAUCUUGGCUUCAACACUCUUAACAAAAAUUAAUUUCAGGUAAACGUUUUUCUCAAUUUAAUUCUUCAGGCAUAAAAUGCCAAAAGCUGAUAAAUUGUCACAUGCUUAAAUUUAUUGCUUAUAUUCUUUCAAAAUAACACCCCAAACUUUAUACGAAAAUAACCAGGAAAAUCGCCAAUUACUUAGAAUAAUUUGUAAAUUAAGUAAUGGAAUAAUUAAUAAAUAAUUUGGCCCUUUUUAACCCCCAGCAAUAAAGUUGAAAUUUUCUUUUUAAUCCAAGUACCCAAGUAAAAUAUUUUUUUUAGGUAAAGUAAUUGGUAUAUUUUGUAUUGACUUUCCUUCAUUAAUAUUCCUCUGCUGCCGCAACACUUGAAUUAAUUGAUUUUCACCAGAGAAGAGUAAUUUUUUCGAUUUUUUUAAUGGCUCGGGGUCACUCUGGAGCGGCGCGCGCUAUUGUUCUCGUGCACAUCCUGCACUUUGCUUGCAGCCCCCAAAAGCAACAAAGAGGCUUUCAAAAGAAAAUUUAUGACCCAAACUGGGAUGCGACGGUUAGCAACACUGCACUCUCUGCUCCAGUUUUCCGUGUACUUCAAGAGUAGUUGGACGUGUGCUCCCUGUGUUUUACUCCAAGAAUCCAGUGUUUUAGCAGAAAUACCCCAAUUAUGGACCUCCCACAUUGUCCAACUUGCUGUGAAGUAUUUUUACCGAAAAAAUUGAAAACGCGGGAAAGAGACCUCGGCCGAUUGCUCAGCCAAAGUCGACGACAGCGCACCCUGCACCCACACAACCCUCGCACCGACGAAUGAACGAACUAUGAUGAACAAGAAAUGAGCUGCAUGUUGCAUAUAUGUUCAGAUACGGACACAGACACCUUUAAAAGCAACUUCUGCCUCGUGAUGUCGAGAUUCGUGCCUUACUCCUCAUUUAAACAUGCCAGGAACCAAGGGAAAUAUUCAGAGGUAAAUUUAAGUGCAAAUUUUCGAAUAUUUCAUUUAGAUUAAAUCAAAAUUACUACCAAUAUCAGAAUAAUUAAUAUGAACCUUUUUUCCAUGUCCAUGCUUUGGAAGCUAUGUUGAGGGUUGAAGGACAAGGAGCCGAACGAAGAAGAAAUAGCAAAAAUCCUAGACACUAUCUCCAGUAUGAAGUGGACCGAAGUAGCUGCUGGAAGACAGGAGCAAGAAAAGUUCUGGUUGAAGUGUUCGAGAUACAAGUGCACACUCUGGUCAAGCCCUUUAGAAGAUCAUCAAGAUAUCUCUCUAUUCGAAAUCGCAAUCAAAACCUCACAUUUUGUCACUUAAAGAUGAAUUAAAGAAAUUUAAAAUGUAAUCUGCAUUUUGUGUAAUUUCGCAACUUUCAAUGUUUUUAAGUUAUCAACUUAGCUCUGGAAUUUUUUAAAAGUUAUAGAAAUGAGCCUGAAUGAUUUGUACCAAUAUUCUAUUUGUAUAAUGUACUUUCCAAAAGCUGUUUUAAAUUUUUCAUUAUAUUUGUUUUCGUGUGCACAUAUGUUGCUGGUUUUCGCUGCUAAAGUUUUUACAGUGCUUCAUAUAAUAUCGAAAAUUAAAUGUAUGGAUAGAUUUUUGCAAUAUUUAAAUAUUUUAAAGUGAAAACCGCAAUAUUUUUGCACUUAAACAAAUAUAUAUGAAUAAUCUUGAACAGCAAAAAGUAAAGUGCAUUACACAAAUAGAAGGUCCAUAACGAUCGAAAGGCAGUUGAACAACAAGACAAUCAAACGACAACCCUAAACUGUCCCUAUAAUGUCACUAUACUGUCCAUAUACUGUCCAUAGGGACAACAACCCAUGGACGAGCUUGUCUCCCAGAAGUCAGACAGUUGAUCCAUGGGCCAUCCAUGCCAAAUGACCUCAGUUUAUCGCAAAGUGACGCCGAAAAUUAAUCCCAAGGAUAACUUUGGCGAUUGUACCGGGAUGACAGAAAAUGUCGUCCGCAGUGUAGUCUGGGGCCUAAGCAAUGCUGGCUGGGA